rnacentral:lncRNA from 1 species
CAAGGAUGGUGGCUACGGCAGAGGGUGAGGGAAGGGGGGCAAUAGCAGAAAAAAAUAGAAGUGAUAAAAAAAUAAAGAAUAAAAAGAAAAAAAUAAAGAAUUUUUUUUUUCUAGGAAGAUCUUACAUAUCGUCGCUGUUUCAGGUAAGAUCAAGAAUUAAAAAAGAAAGAAGAAUAAGCUGAAGUUGUAUUAUUAAGAUGAAGUUAAAUUGUUUCAGAAAAAAAAGUUGCAUUGUAGUAUGAAAGUUGCAUUUUUUCAGACGAAAAUUAUAUUAUAUUUUUUAAGACGAAAAUUACACUGUUUGAGACCAAUAUUGCACUAUUUGAGCCGAAACUGUCACUCUUUGAGUAAAUAUUGUACCGUUUGAAAUAAUAAUUAUACUAUUUGAAUGAAAUUGUACUAUUUAAAACUAUUUGAGGCUAAUUUAUACCACAUCU